rnacentral:tRNA from 1 species
GGCCCUAUCGUCUAGUGGUAAGGACAUCACCCUCUCAAGGUGGAGACAUGGGUUCGAAUCCCGUUAGGGCUACCA